rnacentral:lncRNA from 1 species
UGCUAUGACUUGAUCACUGAACUAACUGGUCUAUGUCUUUGCCUAAACUCCUUCACUACUUGUUAACCAUUUGAUUUUUAAUUAAGCAUCAUAUAUUAUUGGACACAUUUUUCUUAGAAGUAAAUCAAGGUUUAAUAUUAUUGUUAAUACCACUAAAUAUGGUGAAUGUUAGUUUUAAAGAAUUGAUAAUAGUGAUCAUCUAAAAAAACUAAAGAGAAUCAAAAUCCCAAAUAAUUUAAAGAAUUAAAACUGAAAAUCUCCAUAUUUCCACUGAAAACUUGGUUAAACCAUAAAUUAAACUGUAAUGUUUUCUGACUAUAUCUGUGAUCGGAUUGUG